AUUGAACGCUGGCGGCGUGCCUAACACAUGCAAGUCGAGCGGUAACAGGUGUAGCAAUACAUGCUGACGAGCGGCGGACGGGUGAGUAACGCUUGGGAAUCUGCCUAUUAGUGGGGGACAACCCGGGGAAACUCGGGCUAAUACCGCAUACGCUCUACGGAGGAAAGCCGGGGACCGCAAGGCCUGGCGCUAAUAGAUGAGCCCAAGUCGGAUUAGCUAGUUGGUAGGGUAAUGGCCUACCAAGGCGACGAUCCGUAACUGGUCUGAGAGGACGACCAGUCACACCGGAACUGAGACACGGUCCGGACUCCUACGGGAGGCAGCAGUGGGGAAUAUUGGACAAUGGGCGAAAGCCUGAUCCAGCGACGCCGCGUGGGUGAAGAAGGCCUGCGGGUUGUAAAGCCCUUUCAGUGGGGAAGAAAAGCCUCGACCUAACACGUCGGGGUCUUGACGUAACCCAUAGAAGAAGCACCGGCUAACUCUGUGCCAGCAGCCGCAGUAA
rnacentral:rRNA from 1 species